rnacentral:rRNA from 1 species
UGGCAAGUUCGAGCGGACAGAUGGGAGCUUGCUCCCUGAUGUUAGCGGCGGACGGGUGAGUAACACGUGGGUAACCUGCCUGUAAGACUGGGAUAACUCCGGGAAACCGGGGCUAAUACCGGAUGGUUGUCUGAACCGCAUGGUUCAAACAUAAAAGGUGGCUUCGGCUACCACUUACAGAUGGACCCGCGGCGCAUUAGCUAGUUGGUGAGGUAACGGCUCACCAAGGCGACAAUGCGUACCCAACCUGAAAGGGUGAUCGGCCACACUGGGACUGAAACACGGCCCAAACUCCUACGGGAGGCAGCAGUAGGGAAUCUUCCGCAAUGGACGAAAGUCUGACGGACCAACGCCGCGUGAGUGAUGAAGGUUUUCGGAUCGUAAAGCUCUGUUGUUAGGGAAAAACAAGUGCCGUUCAAAUAGGGCGGCACCUUGACGGUACCUAACCAGAAAGCCACGGCUAACUACGUGCCACCAGCCGCGGUAAUACGUAGGUGGCA